rnacentral:rRNA from 1 species
CGAACGGGUGAGGAACACGUGAAGAAUCUGCCUUCAACUCUGGGAUAACUCCGGGAAACCGGGGCUAAUACCGGAUAUGAGCCUUGGCCGCAUGGCCGGGGCUGGGAAGUUUUUCGGUUGAAGAUGACUUCGCGGCCUAUCAGCUUGUUGGUGAGGUAACGGCUCACCAAGGCGACGACGGGUAGCCGGCCUGAGAGGGCGACCGGCCACACUGGGACUGAGACACGGCCCAGACUCCUACGGGAGGCAGCAGUGGGGAAUAUUGGGCAAUGGAGGAAACUCUGACCCAGCGACGCCGCGUGAGGGAUGAAGGCCUUCGGGUUGUAAACCUCUUUCAGUAGGGAAGAAGCGAAAGUGACGGUACCUACAGAAGAAGCACCGGCUAACUAUGUGCCAGCAGCCGCGGUAAUACAUAGGGUGCAAGCGUUGUCCGGAAUUAUUGGGCGUAAAGAGCUCGUAGGUGGUUCGAUACGUCGGAUGUGAAAAUCAGGGGCUCAACCCCUGACCUGCAUUCGAUACGGUCGAGCUAGAGUUUGGUAGGGGAGACUGGAAUUCCUGGUGUAGCGGUGGAAUGCGCAGAUAUCAGGAGGAACACCGAUGGCGAAGGCAGGUCUCUGGGCCAAUACUGACACUGAGGAGCGAAAGCGUGGGGAGCGAACAGGAUUAGAUACCCUGGUAGUCCACGCCGUAAACGGUGGGCGCUAGUUGUGCGAACCUUCCACGGUUUGUGCGACGCAGCUAACGCAUUAAGCGCCCCGCCUGGGGAGUACGAUCGCAAGAUUAAAACUCAAAGGAAUUGACGGGGCCCCGCACAAGCAGCGGAGCAUGCGGCUUAAUUCGACGCAACGCGAAGAACCUUACCAAGGCUUGACAUAUACAGGAAUACGGCAGAGAUGUCGUAGCCGCAAGGUCUGUAUACAGGUGGUGCAUGGUUGUCGUCAGCUCGUGUCGUGAGAUGUUGGGUUAAGUCCCGCAACGAGCGCAACCCUCGUUCUGUGUUGCCAGCAUUACGCUUGGGGACUCACAGGAGACUGCCGGGGUUAACUCGGAGGAAGGUGGGGAUGACGUCAAAUCAUCAUGCCCCUUAUGUCUUGGGCUGCACCAAUGCUACAAUGGC